rnacentral:rRNA from 1 species
CCUACGGGAGGCAGCAGUGAGGAAUAUUGGUCAAUGGGCGGGAGCCUGAACCAGCCAAGUCGCGUGAGGGAAGACGGUCCUAUGGAUUGUAAACCUCUUUAGGCGGGGAGCAAUGCCGGGCACGCGUGCCCGGAGGGAGAGUACCCGCAGAAUAAGCAUCGGCUAACUCCGUGCCAGCCGCCGCGGUCAUACGGGGGAUGCGGGGGUUAUCCGGAUUUAUUGGGUUUUAAGUGUGCGUAGGCGGAUUUUUAAGUCAGCGGUAAAAUGUCCGGGCUCAACCCGGGCCGGCCGUUGAAACGGGGGAUCUUGAGUGGGCGAGAAGUAUGCGGAAUGCGUGGUGUAGCGGUGAAAUGCAUAGAUAUCACGCAGAACUCCGAUUGCGAAGGCAGCAUACCGGCGCCCGACUGACGCUGAGGCACGAAAGCGUGGGGAUCGAACAGGAUUAGAUACCCUAGUAGUC